rnacentral:rRNA from 1 species
GACAGGUGCUGCAUGGCUGUCGUCAGCUUCGUGCCGUGAGGUGUUGGGUUAAGUCCCGCAACGAGCGCAACCCUCGUUGUCAGUUACCAACGGGUAAUGCCGGGGACUCUGACAGGACUGCCGGUGAUAAACCGGAGGAAGGCGGGGAUGACGUCAAGUCAUUAUGACCCUUACGCCCAGGGUUAGACACGUGCUACAAUGGUCGGUACAAUGAGCAGCGAGACCGCGAGGUGGAGCAAAUCUCAAAAAGCCGGCCCUAGUACGGAUUGCAGUCUGCAACUCGACUGCAUGAAG